rnacentral:rRNA from 1 species
GUGGGGAAUAUUGGACAAUGGGGGGAACCCUGAUCCAGCCAUGCCGCGUGUGUGAAGAAGGCCUUUUGGUUGUAAAGCACUUUAAGCGAGGAGGAGGCUACCGAGAUUAAUACUCUUGGAUAGUGGACGUUACUCGCAGAAUAAGCACCGGCUAACUCUGUGCCAGCAGCCGCGGUAAUACAGAGGGUGCAAGCGUUAAUCGGAUUUACUGGGCGUAAAGCGCGCGUAGGUGGCCAAUUAAGUCAAAUGUGAAAUCCCCGGGCUUAACUUGGGAAUUGCAUUCGAUACUGGUUGGCUAGAGUAUGGGAGAGGAUGGUAGAAUUCCAGGUGUAGCGGUGAAAUGCGUAGAGAUCUGGAGGAAUACCGAUGGCGAAGGCAGCCAUCUGGCCUAAUACUGACACUGAGGUGCGAAAGCAUGGGGAGCAAACAGGAUUAGAAACCCCGGUAGUCC